CCUGAGGGAUUUGGAGUCCCCCCGGGCUCCCCUGUGGGGUUCCCUGAGGGCUUUGGGGUCCCUUCCCACUUCCCUGAGAGAUUUGGGGUUCCCCCCUCGUUCCCUCGAGGUUUUGGUCCCCCCCCACUUCCCUACGGGGUUCCCUGGGGGCUUUGGGGACCCCCCCCCAGUCCCCUAUGGGGUUCCCUGAGAGCUCAGGGGUCUCCCCAUGGUUCCCUAUGGGGUUCCCUGAGGGAUUUGGGGUCCCUUCCCACUUCUCUGAGGGAUUUGGGGUCCCCCCAUGGUUCCCUGUGGUGUCCCUGGGGACAUUGGGGUCCCUCCUGGUCCCCUCGGGGCUUUGGGGACCCCCCAGUCCCCUUUGGGGUCCCCUGAGGGCUUUGGGGUCUCUCCCCGCUUCCCUAUGGAAAUCCCUGAGGGAUUUGGGGUCCCCCCCUGGUUCCCUGGGGGUUUUGGGGACCCCUCAAUUCGCUGUGGGGUUCCCUGAAGGCUUUGGGGUCCCUCCAGUCCCCCCCCCCGGGUCCCCCAUGGCCUCCCCCCGGAUUUGGGCCGCUCCGCAGGUCCCC
rnacentral:lncRNA from 1 species